rnacentral:rRNA from 1 species
UACGUAGGGGGCAAGCGUUGUCCGGAUUUAUUGGGCGUAAAGAGCGUGUAGGCGGCCAUGUAGGUCCGUUGUGAAAACUCGAGGCUCAACCUCGAGACGCCGAUGGAAACCAUGUGGCUAGAGUCCGGAAGAGGAGAGUGGAAUUCCUGGUGUAGCGGUGAAAUGCGCAGAUAUCAGGAAGAACACCCGUGGCUAAGGCGGCUCUCUAGUACGGUACUGACGCUGAGACGCGAAAGCGUGUGGAGCGAACAGG